GGCGAGUGGCGAACGGGUGAGUAAUACAUCGGAACGUGUCCUGGAGUGGGGGAUAGCCCGGCGAAAGCCGGAUUAAUACCGCAUACGCUCUGUGGAGGAAAGCGGGGGAUCUUUCGGGACCUCGCGCUCAAGGGGCGGCCGAUGGCAGAUUAGGUAGUUGGUGGGGUAAAGGCCUACCAAGCCGACGAUCUGUAGCUGGUCUGAGAGGACGACCAGCCACACUGGGACUGAGACACGGCCCAGACUCCUACGGGAGGCAGCAGUGGGGAAUUUUGGACAAUGGGCGCAAGCCUGAUCCAGCAAUGCCGCGUGUGUGAAGAAGGCCUUCGGGUUGUAAAGCACUUUUGUCCGGAAAGAAAACCUCUGGGUUAAUACCCUGGGGGGAUGACGGUACCGGAAGAAUAAGCACCGGCUAACUACGUGCCAGCAGCCGCGGUAAUACGUAGGGUGCGAGCGUUAAUCGGAAUUACUGGGCGUUAAGCGUGCGCAGGCGGUGAUGUAAGACCGAUGUGAAAUCCCGGGCUUA
rnacentral:rRNA from 1 species